UAAUUAGUAUUUUUAUAAGUAUGCUCAAGAUUUUGUUCGGAAUUGCGGUACGGUUAGAAAAUAUAAUAGCAAAAUAUUUUGUUUAUUUCUGUACAUUAUAUGUCGUUACACAUAUCUCAGUGAAUUAAUUACUCUAUAUAUUUUGUAAUCUCAUUCGAAAGUAUAUAUAUGUUUUCGCCACAACUUUAUUUUGUUGUGGCUCUCAAUACAAAAACGGAUUCUAAAUUUAAAUUCUGUGUGAGAAAAUAAACAAAACUCGCAACAAAAUAGCGUGCAAAUACAUCUCAGAAGAGUCUCUUAUUAAACAUAUAUUAUAUAUUUAUAUAUUCAUUA
rnacentral:lncRNA from 1 species